rnacentral:rRNA from 1 species
CAGAGGGGGCAAGCGUUGUUCGGAAUUACUGGGCGUAAAGGGCGCGUAGGCGGCCUGCUAAGUCGAACGUGAAAUCCCUGGGCUCAACCCAGGAACUGCGUCCGAGACUGGUUGGCUUGAAUCCGGGAGAGGGAUGUGGAAUUCCAGGUGUAGCGGUGAAAUGCGUAGAUAUCUGGAGGAACACCGGUGGCGAAGGCGACAUCCUGGACCGGUAUUGACGCUGAGGCGCGAAAGCCAGGGGAGCAAACGGGAUUAGAUACCCCGGUAGUCCUGGCCCUAAACGAUGAAUGCUUGGUGUGGUGGGUAUCGAUCCCUACCGUGCCGAAGCUAACGCAUUAGGCAUUCCGCCUGGGGAGUACGGUCGCAAGGCUG